UACGUAGGUGGCGAGCGUUGUCCGGAUUUACUGGGCGUAAAGGGAGCGUAGGCGGACUUUUAAGUGAGAUGUGAAAUACCCGGGCUCAACUUGGGUGCUGCAUUUCAAACUGGAAGUCUAGAGUGCAGGAGAGGAGAGUGGAAUUCCUAGUGUAGCGGUGAAAUGUGUAGAGAUUAGGAAGAACACCAGUGGCGAAGGCGACUCUCUGGACUGUAACUGACGCUGAGGCUCGAAAGCGUGGGGAGCAAACAGG
rnacentral:rRNA from 1 species